UACAGAGGGUGCAAGCGUUAAUCGGAAUUACUGGGCGUAAAGCGUGCGUAGACGGUUAUGUAAGUCAGAUGUGAAAGCCCAGGGCUCAACCUUGGAAUUGCAUUUGAGACUGCAUAGCUAGGGUGCGGAAGAGGGAAGCGGAAUUUCCGGUGUAGCGGUGAAAUGCGUAGAUAUCGGAAGGAACACCAGUGGCGAAAAGCGGCUUCCUGGUCCAGCACCGACGUUCAGGCACGAAAGCGUGGGGAGCAAACAGG
rnacentral:rRNA from 1 species